rnacentral:rRNA from 1 species
CACCGCGGUUAUACGAGUGCGCCCAAGUUGAUAAAAAUCGGCGUAAAGGGUGGUUAAGAAUGUUUUAAAUUAAAGCCGAGAAUCCUAGCAGCUGUUAAACGCUUGCAAGCAUAAAAAGCCCAAAUACGAAAGUAGCUUUAUAAUUUCUGACUCCACGAAGGCUAGGGCA